AAAUUGAAGAGUUUGAUCAUGGCUCAGAUUGAACGCUGGCGGCAGGCCUAACACAUGCAAGUCGAACGGUAACAGGAAACAGCUUGCUGUUUCGCUGACGAGUGGCGGACGGGUGAGUAAUGUCUGGGAAACUGCCUGAUGGAGGGGGAUAACUACUGGAAACGGUAGCUAAUACCGCAUAACGUCGCAAGACCAAAGAGGGGGACCUUCGGGCCUCUUGCCAUCGGAUGUGCCCAGAUGGGAUUAGCUUGUUGGUGGGGUAACGGCUCACCAAGGCGACGAUCCCUAGCUGGUCUGAGAGGAUGACCAGCCACACUGGAACUGAGACACGGUCCAGACUCCUACGGGAGGCAGCAGUGGGGAAUAUUGCACAAUGGGCGCAAGCCUGAUG
rnacentral:rRNA from 1 species